GGUCUUGACAUCCACGGAAGUUUUCAGAGAUGAGAAUGUGCCUUCGGGAACCGUGAGACAGGUGCUGCAUGGCUGUCGUCAGCUCGUGUUGUGAAAUGUUGGGUUAAGUCCCGCAACGAGCGCAACCCUUAUCCUUUGUUGCCAGCGAUUAGGUCGGGAACUCAAAGGAGACUGCCAGUGAUAAACUGGAGGAAGGUGGGGAUGACGUCAAGUCAUCAUGGCCCUUACGACCAGGGCUACACACGUGCUACAAUGGCGCAUACAAAGAGAAGCGACCUCGCGAGAGCAAGCGGACCUCAUAAAGUGCGUCGUAGUCCGGAUUGGAGUCUGCAACUCGACUCCAUGAAGUCGGAAUCGCUAGUAAUCGUGGAUCAGAAUGCCACGGUGAAUACGUUCCCGGGCCUUGUACACACCGCCCGUCACACCAUGGGAGUGGGUUGCAAAAGAAGUAGGUAGCUUAACCUUCGGGAGGGCGCUUACCACUUUGUGAUUCAUGACUGGGGUGAAGUCGUAACAAGGUAACCGUAGGGGAACCUGCGGUUGGA
rnacentral:rRNA from 1 species